CCCUUAGAUGUCCAGGGCCGCACGCGCGCUACACUGAUGCAUUCAACGAGUUUUACCUUGGCCGAGAGGCCUGGGCAAUCUUUUAAACCUGCAUCGUGAUAGGGAUAGAUUAUUGCAAUUAUUAAUCUUGAACGAGGAAUUCCUAGUAAACGCAGAUCAUCAAUCUGCAUUGAUUACGUCCCUGCCCUUUGUACACACCGCCCGUCGCACCUACCGAUUGAAUGGUCCGGUGAAGCCUCGGGAUUGUGGCCAGUUCACUUUAUUGGGAGUUGGCUGCGAGAACUUGUCUAAACCUUAUCAUUUAGAGGAAGGUGAAGUCGUAACA
rnacentral:rRNA from 1 species